UACGGGGGGUGCGAGCGUUGUCCGGAAUCACUGGGCGUAAAGGGCGCGUAGGUGGCGUGAUAAGGGUGUGGUGAAAGCCCGGGGGCUCAACCCCGGGUCUGCCAUGCCGACUGUCAGGCUAGAGUACUGUAGGGGCAGGCGGAAUUCCGGGUGUAGCGGUGAAAUGCGUAGAUAUCUGGAAGAACACCGGUGGCGAAGGCGGCCAUCUGGACCGGUACUGACGCUGAGGCGCGAAAGCUAGGGGAGCGAAGUGGG
rnacentral:rRNA from 1 species